GGGGCUAUAGCUCAGUGGUAGAGCACUUGCCUAGCAAGCGCAAGGCCCUGGGUUCGGUCCCCAGCUCCG
rfam:Rattus norvegicus chromosome X, whole genome shotgun sequence.